AUUGAACGCUGGCGGCAUGCUUUACACAUGCAAGUCGAACGGCAGCACGGGCUUCGGCCUGGUGGCGAGUGGCGAACGGGUGAGUAAUAUAUCGGAACGUACCCAGAAGUGGGGGAUAACUUAGCGAAAGUUACGCUAAUACCGCAUACGAUCUAUGGAUGAAAGCAGGGGACCGCAAGGCCUUGUGCUCCUGGAGCGGCCGAUAUCUGAUUAGCUAGUUGGUGAGGUAAAGGCUCACCAAGGCGACGAUCAGUAGCUGGUCUGAGAGGACGACCAGCCACACUGGAACUGAGACACGGUCCAGACUCCUACGGGAGGCAGCAGUGGGGAAUUUUGGACAAUGGGCGCAAGCCUGAUCCAGCAAUGCCGCGUGAGUGAAGAAGGCCUUCGGGUUGUAAAGCUCUUUUGUCAGGGAAGAAACGGUAGAGGCUAAUAUCCUUUGCUAAUGACGGUACCUGAAGAAUAAGCACCGGCUAACUACGUG
rnacentral:rRNA from 1 species